UACGUAGGGGGCAAGCGUUGUCCGGAUUUAUUGGGCGUAAAGAGCUCGUAGGUGGUUCGGUAAGUCGGAUGUGAAAUCUCCAGGCUCAACCUGGAGGGGUCAUUCGAUACUGCCGUGACUAGAGGUCGGUAGGGGAGUGUGGAAUUCCUGGGUGGAGCGGUGAGAUGCGCAGAUAUCAGGAGGAACACCCGUAGCGAAGGCGGCACUCUGGGCCGGUACUGCGCUGAGACGCGAAAGCGUGGGGAGCGAACAGG
rnacentral:rRNA from 1 species